GGUGGCUCAGUGGUAGAGUGCUUGUUUUGCAUUCAUGAAGCUCUGAGUUCCAUUCCUCAGCACCA
rnacentral:tRNA from 1 species